rnacentral:ncRNA from 2 species
UCAAUAAAACGAAUCUCAAGUGUUUUACACUUAAUAGAGGAAAUCGGUCAAAGUCCGAUACGGUACCGCCACUGUAGGCGCGGAGCCGACUUCAAAGAGCCACUGGAUAGUUUUCCGGGAAGGCAGAAGAAGGCGAUGAUGCGCGAGUCAGGAGACUUGCUUGAGAUUAUUCAUCAUA